rnacentral:rRNA from 1 species
GACGAACGCUGGCGGCGUGCUUAACACAUGCAAGUCGAACGGGAACCUUUAUUUCGGUAAAGGUGAGAGUGGCAAACGGGUGAGUAACACGUAGGCAACCUGCCGACAGGAUGGGGACAACAUUCCGAAAGGAAUGCUAAUACCGAAUGGAGUCCGAGGAUGGCAUCAUCCACGGAUCAAAGAUGGCCUCUUAGCAAUGCUAUCGCCUGUCGAUGGGCCUGCGUCUGAUUAGCCAGUUGGCGGGGUAACGGCCCACCAAAGCGACGAUCAGUAGCCGGUCUGAGAGGAUGAACGGCCACAUUGGGACUGAGACACGGCCCAGACUCCUACGGGAGGCAGCAGUGGGGAAUCUUCCACAAUGGGCGAAAGCCUGAUGGAGCAACGCCGCGUGAGUGAAGAAAGGUCUUUCGGAUCGUAAAAGCUCUGUGCACGGG